AAUACACGAGAUGUAUGUACGUGGAAAGAAAAGUCGCUUGUACUUAUGGGAUGAAUUUGUUAACUCAUCCGUCUUGUUUAAUAGAAGAAUUCUUACAUUGAACGAGACAAAUGAGAGAUUACAAAUUUACUCGUGUAACAAAGAAUGAUACAAUAAUUUUAUAACACAAUUUGACUUAAAUAUAUAAUUAUAAUUAUAUAUCUAAAACAUAUGUGAAAUUGUGAAGAAGAGAGAGAGAAAAGCAAAAUGUGAUAAAACUUUAUUAUAUAAAAAUAUUAGUGCAUCUCUCAAGCCUUACGUGAAUACUGUGUAUUUGUACAUAUUAUUACACCAUACCUAAGAAUUUCUAAAAGAAAAAUCAAACCAAGUAUCCUUAUGGAGUGUCUAACUGGAGAACCAUAUGAUCUGAUUGGCAUACUCUAGUAUAUAGAGACAUGUACAAAAGAAGCACUCACUAACAACAUCAAAUUAGCACCUAAGUGCUUGGCAUACAGAAGGCAAUAUAUUUUGGAUCAAGCAUAUAUAUUUUAAUAAGGGAAAAGAUCCUGUAGAAUAUAUUGUUGCUGCUUCUAGGAAGAAGGGUCUAUUUUUGAAGAGUUACUGAUGCGAACAGAUAUACAAUCAAACAUGCAAAAUGGAUUAAAUUCUUGCACAGUGUAUAGAUGAUACAGUGAAAUUCUCAUAAAAGGUUAAGCAAUUUUUAUGCAAAUUAUAUUUUUAUCUAAUUGAUUCUAACAUCUUAGAAAUUAUUCCAAACAACUUUAUGGAAUUACUAGUUAAAUAGUGUGCACGUCUGUAUUAUGUGUUCUUAAUUGUAAUAUAAAAUUAAUUAGUUAUUAAUACGUUA